GUCGAGGGGCAGCAUGGCUGUAGCAAUACAGCUGAUGGCGACCGGCAAACGGGUGCGGAACACGUACAGAACCUUCCUCGGAGCGGGGGAUAGCCCAGAGAAAUUUGGAUUAAUACCCCAUAGUAUAACGAAGUGGCAUCGCUUUGUUAUUAAAGAUUUAUCACUUUGAGAUGGCUGUGCGUCUGAUUAGGUAGUUGGUGAGGUAACGGCUCACCAAGCCGACGAUCAGUAACUGGUGUGAGAGCACGACCAGUCACACGGGCACUGAGACACGGGCCCGACUCCUACGGGAGGCAGCAGUAAGGAAUAUUGGUCAAUGGACGCAAGUCUGAACCAGCCAUGCCGCGUGGAGGAUGAAGGUCCUCUGGAUUGUAAACUUCUUUUAUCUGGGACGAAAAAAGGGAAUUCUUUCUCGUCUGACGGUACCAGAUGAAUAAGCACCGGCUAACUCCGUGCCAGCAGCCGCGGUAAUACGGAGGGUGCAAGCGUUAUCCGGAUUCACUGGGUUUAAAGGGUGCGUAGGCGGGUGUGUAAGUCCGUGGUGAAAUCUCCGAGCUUAACUCGGAAACUGCCAUGGGUACUGCAUGUCUUGAAUGUUGUGGAGGUGAGCGGAAUAUGUCAUGUAGCGGUGAAAUGCUUAGAUAUGACAUAGAACACCAAUUGCGAAGGCAGCUCGCUACACAAAAAUUGACGCUGAGGCACGAAAGCGUGGGGAUCAAACAGGAUUAGAUACCCUGGGUAGUCCACGCCCUAAACGAUGAUUACUCGACAUAC
rnacentral:rRNA from 1 species